rnacentral:rRNA from 1 species
AUUGAACGCUGGCGGCAGGCUUAACACAUGCAAGUCGAGCGGAGAGAGGUAGCUUGCUACUGAUCUUAGCGGCGGACGGGUGAGUAAUACUUAGGAAUCUGGCUAUUAGUGGGGGACAACAUUUCGAAAGGGAUGCUAAUACCGCAUACGUCCUACGGGAGAAAGCAGGGGAUCUUCGGACCUUGCGCUAAUAGAUGAGCCUAAGUCGGAUUAGCUAGUUGGUGGGGUAAAGGCCUACCAAGGCGACGAUCUGUAGCGGGUCUGAGAGGAUGAUCCGCCACACUGGGACUGAGACACGGCCCAGACUCCUACGGGAGGCAGCAGUGGGGAAUAUUGGACAAUGGGGGGAACCCUGAUCCAGCCAUGCCGCGUGUGUGAAGAAGGCCUUAUGGUUGUAAAGCACUUUAAGCGAGGAGGAGGGUACUGGUAUUAAUACUACCAGGUACUGGACGUUACUCGCA